UCAUUCUACAGAUCAAAAAGUUGAUAUGGUGCUCUCAAAGACCAAAAUAUGCUAGCAGGCUAGUUAUAUGUGUUAAUGUUCACCAUUUAAGAUAUAGGAAAAAGUCUAUACUUAGCUAUAUACUUGGAGAUAUAAAACAAAAGUAUUCCACUCUGCCAUAGACUUAUCCAUAUAAUACUCUCACUUGCAUACUAGAACCAGAUAGAUAAAUGUAUCAUGAAAGUAAAGUAGUAACAGAUAUCCAGAAGAAAAAAGUAGAGCAAUACUUAGGAUCCUUUUCUCUACCUACCCUCCUCCAUGGG